rnacentral:lncRNA from 1 species
AAAUUAGGUAGAAUAUGGGUAUCAUCGUGUUAGCUUUGUAUCUUUUGAUUUUCAAGUUUGGGAUACUGAGGAAGUACUAAAGACAGGAACAAAGCACAGGGAAAAGGUGGGGUACCCUAGGCUGAAGGGAACAGCCUCUUUAAAAUCACUCAUUGAGAAUCUUGUUCACUGCCAGGCACAGUGGCUCAUAUGUGUAAUCCCAGCAAUUUGGGAGGGUGAGGUGGGUGGAUCACCUGAGCCUGAGAGUUCAAGACCAGCCUGGGCAAGAUAGCGAUACCGCUUCUCUACUUAAAAAAAAAAAAAAAAAAAAUUAGAUAGGCAUGGUGGCGCAUGCCUGUAGUCCCACCUAUUCAGGAGGCUGAGGUAGGAAGAUCACUUGAGCCCAGGAGUUUGAGGCUGCAGUGAGCCAUGAUCGCACCACUGCACUCCAGCCUGGGUGACAAAGGAAGACCCCGUCUCAAAAAAAGAAAGAAAGAAAGAAAAAAAAGAAUCCUGCUGGCACGGUGGCUCACACCUGUAAUCCCAGCACACUGGGAGGCUGAGGCAGGCGGAUCACUUGAGGUCAGGAGUUCGAGACCAGCCUGGCCAACAUGGUGAAACUCCAUCUCUACUAAAAAUUCAAAAAUAAGCCCUGUAUUGUGGUGGGCGCCUAUAAUCCCAGCUACUUGGGAGGCUGAGGCAGGAGUCCUGCCUCAGCCUCCUGAGUAGCUGGGAUUACAGGUGCACACCACCACGCCUGGCUACUUUUUGUAUUUUAUUUUUAUUUUUAUUUAUUUAUUUAUUUAUUUUCAGACAGAGUCUUCUAAUAAGAGUCAAGGUGAACACUACCAAACAACUGAAAAAUACU